CGUGACCUUUGACCGAUUUCCGUAAACAGCUGAUCUAACCACGUGAUUGUGUCUCCAUCACGGCUGCCUGUGUGAAUGAACAGGGAAGAGCGGUCAGGCGCAGAGUUAAUGUCAAACAAGAAUCACGGGUGCUUAAAAGAAAAAAUACUGGACGCAAAUUGCAACAUAUGCGGAUAUUGUCCACCGUAGGCUAUAGACAUGCACGUGAAGGAGACCCUGGGUAUUUUAAAGCCGUGGUGAGUCCUGCAUCGUUCUUGAGCCCUCCACAGAGAUGCACCCGUUUGGCAGAGAGGAGGCGAGCUCGCUGGAGAAGCUGUUUGUGUUCUUCACGCAGUGCUUGCUGCGGGGGGAGUGGGCUCUUGCCCAGGCCUGCGUGCCCCAGCUCCGGGAGUGGCAGGGCGGGGGCGCAGGGCGGGUGCAGGAGAUCCUGCAGGCUAUCGUAGCCUGCCCGUACCAGCUGAGAUGGGACACAAUUGGUAGCCCUCAUCGCCUUGCUUGGCUGUGGCUUCAGGUAUUAGAGAAGUGGUUUCAAGAGCAGAUCCCAGUAUUUGUCAAGAGUGAGCUGGAGUUCAUGUUACUUCUGGAGGAGCUGCAGACUGAAGCUUCAGAAAAUGUGCUCAAGGAGUUCUAUCAGACCUUCUUACACAGCCACAGCCCAAACAUUACUAAAGAAAAGAAAAGGGAACCGCGGAGCGCGCAGCUCAGUGCGGAAGCAGUGUCGUGUUUGUGGGACGUGUUGUCAGAGAAGCCCGGACUGGCUCAGGCACUGAUGGGGUACCUGCUGGCACACGACUGCGAUAGCGACUCUCUGCACAAGCUGUUCAUUGACUUCCUGCAGGAGGUGGUGUGUGGGCUGCGGAGCAGCGCUGGGGGCCACGCUGUGGAGCAGGUGUACUCGGGGCUGUCGGUCCUGCACUGUAACCCCGAGCAGCCGGCCGGAGAGCUGAGGCAGCUGUGUGAGGCGCUCUUCGAGUCCAGCUGGGGGGAGGCGGCCCCUCUCAGAGAGGAGAGGGUGAUGAGCUGCCUGCUGCGGCCACACGAUCACGCUCUGGUCAGCCUGUACAGCAGUGUCGCUACGGAAAGGACGAAGGAAAAGCUGUUGGAACACAAACCACACGAGCAAGUGUCUGCAGAGCUGUCUGAAGCGGAGAAGGUGAUUCUGGCUUUAUUUUCUCACUGUGAUCGAGCCUCAGCCUGGAAAACAAUUUACUUUGACUGCCUGAGCAGCGGCAAGCACUUCCUGGAGCAGGUCCUGGUUACAGCCCUGAGUUUGAUGAAAAGGGAAGAUGUUUCCAGUCUACACAGUCUCCUGAAUCAGGAGUUUAGGCCUCUUUCCAGGCUGCUGCUAUUGCUGGGUUGGACUCACUGCCAGAGUUUGGAAUCAGCAAAGACCUUCCUGCGUACUCUGCAUGAGAACAGGGAGCUCCACUGUGAUUUUGUAUUGAAGGAGUUUGGGGAUGGCCUCUCCACGCAGGUUAAAAUACUUGAAUGGUGCUCUGAAAACAACAGGAACAGCAUUCCCAGUACAGAUCUGCUGAGGCACCUGCACAGUGUGGACUGCCACUCGGCUCUGUAUAUCCUGCACUCACUCACCACCCUGCCUGCGCUGGACGAGGAGAGAGUCAUCCAACUGCUGCAGGGGCUGCCAGCUACACACAGCAACGGUCCUGCAGGGUUAGCAGAGGCCUCUACUCUUGUUCGGCGUAGGAAUGUGGUUCUGUUCCAGGGGUUCUGCGCCAUGAAAUAUGCCGUCUAUGCACUGUGUGUCAAUGUUCACAAACACUCUGCGUGCAAGGACUGCCUGGGCAGCUUGGCAGAGGAGCAGCCAGAGUCCAGAGAGGAGCCUGGCAAAGAGCAGUAUUCCAGUCCAGGGUACCCAAAACUUUUUAAGAAAUACAUGGAUAAAUGCCAUCAGCAUUUACAAGCCCUUCCUGUCGCUUUCCGUCUGGAGCUGCUGGAGAACAUUUAUUCCUUGCUUUUCACAUCCCACUCCGACUUCAGCUCGGAGAAAGCAGAGGAGUCUGCCCUGGAAGAGGAUGACGAGGGUGUGGAGGAGGGGGAGGCGGGGAGGAACUCUGAGGUGCGGAGCCUCAACAGCAGCCUGGAGCACAGCAAUUACCCAGAGACAGGGCAGCAGGGCGAGGGAGAGAGCAGCCAACCACAGAGAAGCACCCACUUGAAAGACGCUGCCUCCCAGACCUUCAGCCACUUGCACUUGAAGCACUUUGCUAACGGGGCGAGCGGGUUCAUGGCGGACGAGGCGGCGCUGGAAGCGUUCCUGAAGCUGCUGAAAGAGCACCUGGACGGGAUCGACAGGGACGUGCUGAGGGAGGGUGAGCGCACGCCGGACACAGAGAAGGAACUAGCUGAGUGCCUGAACUGUUCCAUCAGCACUGACGCCUUCAACACGCGCUUACAGCGGCUUUCAAAGUACAUCUCCGAAACCCAGUGGAGGUUCCAGGUAGUUACCAGCAACAAGACUGCAGAAGGGCAGAUUUCUGCCACAAGGAAACUGCACCCUGUUACUCUGAGACGCUCUAGCUUCAAGAAGAGAAGACGGGCAGCAAGAAGCAGAGCAGAUGGAGCACUGCAGCUAUCUGUGGACAGCCUGAAUGCAGAUCUCAGUGCCAGUACAUCAGACGGGAGUGCCAGUGCGUUCCCUGGGCAGUGUGAUCUGGAGCUCAGGCCCCUCUCUGUGGAGAGGAACCUGCUCAUCCCCAUGAUGCUGUCUCCCCCUGAAUCUCUGCUCAUAUCCUGCAUCUUGAGAGGAAACUUCAUGGAAGCACGUCAGGUGGUGCUGAUGUUCAGUCUGGAGUCCUCCCCUUGCUAUGGGGAGCUGGUGUUCAUGGAGCGCUACCAGCAGGUUGUGGAGGAGCUGGCCCGCGUGGAGCAGAAGAUUGAGAACCAGAGCGCGGACAGCAGCGGGAGGAAGGGCAGCAGCGGCCUGUCCACCCUGCAGGCCAUCGGGAGCGCUGCAGCAGCAGGCAUGGUGUUCUACUCCAUCUCGGAUGUGGCUGACAAGCUGCUGAGCUGCCUGGGCCGGCCUGUGCCCUCCCUGCAGGAGGAGUUCUGGGUGAGCAGUGUGCAGAGGGAGCUGCCGGGGGCCCUGGGGGGGGUGCUGGAGGACCUGAGCCCCGCGGGCAUGGCCGCCUUCGACCUGGCCUGCACCCAGUGCCAGCUCUGGAAGACCUGCAAGCAGCUGCUGGAGACGGCAGAGAGGAGGCUGCACAGCACCCUGGAGGCCAAAGGGCAGAAAGUGGAUUCCGCAGUGCAACCUCCCGAGGGGAUCCGAGGGUUUCCAGCAGUCCUGCAGCAGAUCAGCAAGAUCCUGAACCACACCCCCGGGGGGCGGGGUGGGGCCAGGCCUGAGGUGAAUGAGGAGAAGCUGCAGAGCCAUUUCAGCUGCAGUGUGCUGGAGGUCCUGCUGACCUGUUACCCUGCCCUGACUGAGGAGAGCAUGGCAACACAGCUGAGCAUCUCGCACAGGCUGGAGCACACCCUGCACACACUCUCCACAGCCAUCGACUGCACAGAGCUGAGAGGAGGCAGUCUGUUUGCCUCCCUGGUGGAGCAGGCGUCUCUGAAGUCCCAGGAGCGGGAGGUGCACCCCGUGCGCAGUCAGAUGAAGGCGCUGCUCAGGACGAUGGAUCAGCACAUCCAGACACAGGGCAGCAGCGGCCAGGCCAGGCCAGACUACAUCCGCAGCGGCUUCGACUACAUCAACACGCUGGCUGCCGUGCUCGUGAGGAGCCUGAACCCUGAGUUAGACCCGGUCUCUGAAGUGAAGCUGGGGAAUUCCCUCCUGGUGCUGCAGCAGACCCCGACACAGCUGCUCUCACACCUGCUCUUCGAGAGGCAGGUCUCUCCAGACAGGAUAUCUUCCCUGUUGCACAAAGAAGAACUGAACCUCAGCAUCCAGCAGGUGAUAGUGAGCUGCUCCUGCGAGAGCCUGCCUUUGUGGGACACGAGGAAACAGGGGCAGAACCCAUCUCUGCUGGACAGCGUUGGCGGGUUCGUGCAGCAGUACGCCGAGCAGUACCUGCCGAAUCUGGAAACAGCAUUCCCCACAUCCACCGAGAGCAGAGAAGACGUCACUGCUGCCGUAUCUCCUCCGGUAUCGCCGGGAGGCUCCACCCAGUUCAUCCUCACUCCCUCCGCUCUGGGCUUCCUGAAGUCUCGCUCCAGCCUGCUAGCCACCUUGGCCUGCCUGACCGCGUCCAAGGGAGUGAAGACAGCCAAGACAGGCCUGUCCUCCUGGAGGGACUUCAGGGGCAAGAGGGAGACCCCCCUAGACCUGGAGCAGAUCACCAAGGAGUGCGAUCAUCUUCUGCAGGAGUUCCCCGUGCUGGAGCGUUUCCUCCGCGCCAUGUCGGAGCCUCUGGAAGGGAGUCCUGAGGAGCCGGCCGGGCUGGUGGGGGCUCUGUGCGGUCAGCCCUGCUCCGGCCUUGUUCUCUCUGGGGUGCACUGCAGCUCCACACUGGGGAUCGCCGCUGGGGCCUUCCAGCAAGCGCUGGUUACCGGAGCACUAAGCAGAGCCCUGGGCAUCCUGCGGCAGUACGGGCAGGAGGGCCAUGGCCUGUCUCACAUGCAGGACAUCCUGCUGAGCUGCGCUGCUGUGGAAGAGGUGGACGGCAUGAAGCACCUGUUCCUGGUGAAGGACGCUGAUCUCCGGGCCAGGCUGGUGCUGCACUGCUUGGAGAAGUGGCCCCUGGGAGCCUGCUUGGAGAUCCUCAUGUACUGCGUAAGUGACUCAGAGACGGCGGAGGAGCUGAAGGAGAACCUGCUCUUGAAGAAACAGGAGCUUCAGAUUUACCAACAGAUCUUGGAUUUGAGUUCUCCCUCCAGCUGGAGCGACUGGCAGGAAGUGCGGAGAGAUUCCCGAGAGGACCCUGAAUCUGUGCUGGACGUGAUCCUUCGUGCCAAAGAGUUUGGUCUGUGUGAGAGGUGGGUGGAGCUGCACCCCGUCUCUCCAGAGUGUCGGAUGAGGCUGCAGAGAGAGCACCUGCUUCACCUGCUGGAGACCGGGGAUUCGGAGGACGCCUUCCAGUUGCUCCAGAGCCUGUCGGACCCGGAGCUGUGCCUGCUGAUCAGUGAGCAGGCCCUGGACCAGCGCCCGGGGCUGACUGCCUGCCAUUUCCUGGCUAAUUACCUCACCUCGCACUUCCACAAGAGCGUGGCCCCAACGCGCCAGCACGAGAUACAGGCCAUGCGCAUCGGCUCAGAGUUGUUGCUGUCGCUCCCGGAGCCCGCUCGUCAGGAUUACUUCCAGCUGUCGUCCAGCCCGCUGCUGAUGCUGGAGCAGCUCCUGAUGAACAUGAAGGUGGACUGGGCGGCCGCGGCCUUGCUCUCCCUGCAGCAGCUCCUCCUGGGGCAGGAGGCCGGCUUCACAGCCGAGGACAUCAACGAGCUGCUCUCCAGAUACGCCAGGAAGGCUCUGGACUUCCCCUACGCACCCCGGGAGAGAACCAGAGCAGAUUCUGUGAUAAGUCUGCAGGACCUCCUGAUCCAGACUCCAGGCCAGGAGACCUUCCCUCCGUUGCUCUCCACAGAGACAACCCCCUCUUCCACUGCUGGCAGCAGUCCGCUGCACACACCCAAAGCCCCCCCUGAGAGAGCCCCGUGCAGGCAGAAAUUGGAGUUCACGCCCCCUGAGAGACCACCGGAGAAGAAGAACUGGGUCCCAGACCAGCAGCAGGACGUGUGCAUGGUGUGCAGGAAGGAGCGCUUCACCAUGUUUAACAGACGGCACCAUUGCAGGCGCUGUGGCCGGCUGGUCUGCAACACCUGCUCCACUAGGAAGAUGGUGGUGCAGGGAUGCAGAGAGGAUCCAGUGCGAGUGUGUGACCAGUGUUACAGCUUUUACAACCAAGACACACAAGAAGGGCACGAGCAAGCAGAUGUGGCUGGCAGCCCUGGCAGUGGCUGUUUGGAUUUUUCUGUCAUAUUGCAGUUACCAGAGGUGCCGGAGAGGCUGCGCAAACUCUCGCUGAACGAAGCGGACAAUGAGAUUGAGCGCAGCGAAUUCUACUACGAGCAGGCUCCCAGCGCCUCGCUGUGCAUCGCCAUCCUGAACCUGCACAGUAACAGCAUCGUCUGCGGGCAGCAGCUGAUCGAGCACUGCCAACAACUGUCCCGCGGACUCACCAACCCCGAGGUGGACCCCCGGCUGCUCACCGACAUCAUGAAGCAGCUGCUCUUCAGUGCCAAGCUGAUGUUCGUCAAGGCGGGGCGCAGCCAGGACCUGGCCCUGUGCGACAGUUACAUCAGCAAGGUCGACGUGCUGAAGAUUUUAGUCUCUGCCAACUACAAGUACGUGCCAUCGUUGGAUCAGAUCCUGCAGCCUGCAGCCGUGUCCAGACUGAGGAACCAGCUGCUGGAGGCAGAGUAUUACCAGCUGGCUGUGGAGGUCUCCACUAAGAGUGGUCUGGACCCUGGUGGGGUGUGGCAUGCCUGGGGGAUGGCCUGCCUGAAAGCAGGGAACCUGACUGCAGCACGGGAGAAGUUCAGCAGGUGUCUGAAACCUCCAUUCGACCCGAACCAGCAGAAUCACGGGCCCCAGCUCCUGCAGGAUAUUAUCCAGCACCUGGAGUCCACUGUCAAACUCAGCUUCUCCCUGCAUAACGAUGAUAUCCUGGCCUCCCUGAAGCAGCUGGAGGAUGCUCUGAUGGAAGCUACCCUUCCUGACAGACCAGAAGGGAAGAUCCAGCAGAACAGCUGCUACCAGGAGUGCCUCUACUACCUGCACAUGUACGGGACCAACCUGGCCAUCAUCAGCUUCUACAUGAGGCACGACUGCGUGAGGGACGCGCUGAUACACCUGCUCAACAAGGAAAGCCCGGAGGACGUGUUCCUGAACGGGAUCUUCGUGCCGAGCUAUGAAAGUGGGAAGCUGCACGUUCUGGAGAACCUGAUGGAGACCAUCGACUCGGGGCUGGAGAGCUGGAGCAGAUACCUGAUCGCAUCCUGCAAACACCUGCAGAAACGAGGCUUCUUCAACAUCCUCUACGACCUGCAGCAGUUCAUGAAGGACCACGUGCGGGCGGCCAUGACGUGCAUCCGGUUCUUCACUCACAAGGCCGAGUCGUACGUGGACCUGGGGGGGAAGCAGAAGUGGCUGAUCAAGGCGAAGGACCACCUGAAGACCUACCUGCAGGAGCAAUCGAGCCGCAGCUCCGGGAGGAGGAAGUCAGCCAGCUCCUUCAGGAAGAAGAUGUCCUCCAGCGAUGUGUCCAGGCACAUCAACACCAUCGAGCUGCAGAUCGAAGUGACCAGGUUCCUGCAUCGCUGUGAGAGCUCCGGCACCUCGCGCAGCACAGCCUCCCCGCCCGCCAACCUGUUUGGAAACAACAGCAUGAAGAUGGACGUGGCCUGCAAGGUCAUGCUUGGCGGUAAGAACAUUGAGGAGGGAUUUGGAAUUGCCUUCAGGAUUAUACAGCCCCUAUUCCUGCAGAGCUCACCCUCUGUCUGCUGUUCCCAGGACUUCCUGCUGGACGCUGCGGCGGUGUACAGCAGGGCAGUGAAGCGGCUGGUGAAGCACAGGCAGUACCGGGAGAUCAGGCAGCUGCUUAAGUGUGUCAGCGAGUCGGGAGCUGCCACCAAGAACGACUGCGAUAACAUCAUCCUGAGCUGCAUCGAGGCAGCUGACAAGGUGCCCUCCGAGGCUAAGGAACUUGACAGUUUGAUUUUGGAAAUGAAAAGCACAGAUAACAAGAUCAAGGCCUACCUGCUGUGCAGUAAGCUGCGCUCGGCCUACCUGAUCGCGGUGAAGCUGGAGCUGCCGCGGGCCUCCCAGCUGGUGCAGGAGGUGCUGGGGGCCGCAGAGCAGGCCGGGGACCUCAUCAUGCAGGACAUCUGCACACAGUGGCUGUCCGAGCACCAGGGCAGGAGCAGCACAGCUCCCCGGCAGGGCGCAGCCACACGCAGAUAGCAGGGCGAGCAGAACACACACACACUGCCAAACCUACACUCUCCUUCCUAGGAGAUGGUUUUGCUCUUCAGAACUGUCUUACACGAAUGAAACCAAAUUACAGCAAGCUGUUGUCUACUCCAGUACAUUACUAAAAUAAUUAUUAACGACAAUUAUUCUUACAGUUUAGAUGACAUAUCGAAAGCAGUUGUGAAGGACGCUGUGCGAAUGAAAGAAACAUUAUUUAAGAAGAUAGGAAGUUUCAGGGGUGUGCUAGUAAUGGCGAAUACAAACCUAGGAUACUGUGGCAAUAGGCAGGAACAGUUGAGAAAUCAGUGCAGUUCUUUUAUAUUUAUACUGCAAACCUAUACAAGUGUUGGUACAGUACUUUAGAUUUAAUAUAUGGCUUUGCAGGCUUUAAAAUUGCAACAGACUUCUCUUUUGAGCAUAAUAUGUGACUGGUGUAAUAUGAGGAUUGUUAUAAUCACGGUAUAUUGUUAUGCCCUCGGCUGGGGGCGAGCCCCAGGCAGCAGGGAGGCAGGUGGCACCAGCACACGAGUACCGUACACAUGGCACCCUUUUUCUGUUUUACAUAUAUUUAAAGAACCACUUACCCAUUUGUGAGGAAACUUGCUAAGGGCAUUGUUGAGAGUAUUAGAAUGUGGGGGAUAUGGAGGGUUUGUGUGAGUGUCCUAAAACAUGGGACAGCAAUGGAACAGAGCUGAUUUGUGCUUCUUGGUACAGUUGCCAGUAGUUUUAUUAUGUUUAAUAUGGCUGCCUGGACUAAACUUGCAUUACCUGUGUAAGGACAGCAUUUAUUGUGUCUCAUAGGAUAUGUUGACACGUGGCAGGUUUAUAGUAAAGCGACUGACACAUCAGCUUGGGUACAAGUAGAAGGGACUGAGAUUGGACAGACCACAUUGUAAUAUUUAUUUGUUUAUAGACCAAAACGUUUUUCAAAACAGAAAAAAAUCCAGAGCUGCUUUGUAAACUUCCAAAUUUAGGAGUACCUGCUGAAAACUGUCACAGUGAGGCCUUCCGUUUUCUAUUUAUUUAUCGGUUUUAGUUACUGUGGUAACACUUGUUCUAGGCUUCAGCUCCAGCACAGCGCCAUCUGUGGCCUGCGGUGGUAGUGCUGCAAUUUUUUUGCUCUGUUUUGGUGCCUCUGUUGUGGUACAUUUCUCCCAGGCAUUGAAGAGAAAUAGGAUAUCAAGAGAAAGGCAGUUACAACUGACCAAGAGGCCCUAAAGCCACCUGAAAAUAUCUUAACAGGUUAUAUCAACAAUAGAACUUCAGAAUGAAGGGAAAUAUUGUAAAAAGGUAAGAGGACAAAAAAAGCUGUUAAGAUCUUAAUCUGAUUAUUCUUAAUAAAUGCGGAACUAAACACGUCAAGUGAAACUGACACUCUGGAAACCUUCAAAAGGGAAAUAUGGGCACAGAAUAAUAUGUGGUGUCCUGAAAUAAAGAAACACACGAUUGCUAGCUGUGCCGCGCAGUGGAAUACAGGGCUAGGUCAAAGGGCACUUCUUGAUUUUGAGUUCUUGUAACACUUCUAACUAAUGACUGCCACGUAUCAAAGUGUGUGAGGCGUGUUUACAUUGCUGUAGCUCUUCUAAUCCAAUCAAAGGCUUUAUUAACAACAUUUUAUAUACUGCAGUUAAAAAAGACAGAGAUCUUCCCUUUAAGAGAACCACUUCAAAUGAUGGAGGAAUCUCAGGCUGUUAAGUAACUGAGCGGCUCAGAGCAGCUCAGUGAAAGAACCCUCUUAACAGCUACAGAGCAGAUUUCAUCAGCGAUCUGAGUAAGCAGGAACAUUCUCGCUCUGAUCCACUCAGUUACUUAACGCUCCUGCAGUAUCGGAAGAACCUAGGACAAGCAGAGACAUCUUAAAGGGAAUGUGCUUUUUGCCAAAAUACUAUUACUGUUUUUGCCUGUGAUUUUGGAGUGACUUCAGUAAACAUUUUGGCUACUGUAAUUUUCUCAAACUGUCUGUGAUGAUUUCAUGUACAGUAAAACCUAAUUUGACAUCGGUUGGGACUCAGAAUUGUGCUGGAUUAUAGAAUGUUCAGGAUUACAGAAGUGCUGUAAAAAUCUAAUACUGUUCCCACAAAAAUAGGUAUCAAUUGAUGACAAACUAUUUUAACAUUUUGAAAACUCUUAUUACAAUAUAUACAGUAGACAUACCCUGUAAUUCAAGGAUUGUAUUAAUUUAACUUCACUUUUUCCAUUAUGUGACAAGGAUUUUACUGUAGAUGUACCAUAUCCUGGGAUAUGUGCGUAUUCACACAACAUCCUGCCAAAUUAUACAGACUGCCGAUUUAUAGAGGGGCUGGAUUAGACAAGUUUUACUGUACAAUACAGUAAACAUAAGCAAAAAUAACAUGCAUGUGUUUUGCGGAAAUAAAGAAAGAUAGUUUGCUCGGUGUGCAAUUUCCAUUUUCACCUAUUAGAAAAUGCCAACAGUCACGUUUGCUUUCACAAAAUCACAUAAAUUUGCAGAUUUGAGUUGUGCACUAUCAGUGCCCAGAAUAGCAAUGUUUAUUUUAGAUGUGCUGUAUUCGUCACACAUGAACACAUCAGGCAUCUUGAGAAAUCACUGUGAGGUUCUGUUAGAACACAAUUCAUACCUCUUGUUCAAAGACUUUUUUUUUUACCAGCACUCACUAUGCAUAAUAAAAUGCAUUAAUCUAGGAUGCAUUUUGAUUGUUUUAGGAGUUCCUAACUCACACAUUUCUUUCCACUAGAAAGAAAGGGCAUGUCGUAUUCCAGCAAAUUGUUAAAGAACUGAUCAUGCAUUUUAUUCCUCAAACAAAUCUACCAGCUGUAGAGUAAGAAUACUACAUACAUUGAAUUUGUCAAUUAAAGUCGAAUACCCUGUAUAACCUAAGUUAUGCAAAUCAUUUUAUUCCUCCAUAUGUAAGUCGUCUAUUCAGCAGUGAUCAUGUUUUCAAGUGAAAAGGGUUGAAGAAACUCAUUUCACAGUUUCUUUAAAACCUUUUGUUUGCCAUCAGUGUUUUUGUUUGAUUGUGUUUACAUGCAAUUUCUGUGUUACUGCAAAAUGACAAAACUGGCAUCAUUAAUCGCACUGUAACAAAAGCACUUUACCUCUGACUUGAAAAUUACAUUUACUUUAAAUACAUGUUGGCUUGCUUGCUGCUUUUUUGUUUUGAAUUUAGUGAUCAUGAAAGGUGAGGGACUAUGGCACUGACUGCAGGCUCUUUUAAGUGUAGCCCCAGGCCCAUUUAUUAACUUGUCAAAAUGAUAUUGCUUGUCGUGGACCAGUUUGACUAUACAAUUAUCUUCAAAUUUGCACCCUUUCUGUAAUAAGAUUAGUCUUAGAAAUGUAAAUCUCAUGUGGUCGUGCAAAAGAUAUGUCAUCACCAGAAAGGCAUAUUCAAAAGAAACCUGUGUGGAGUUCUAUAUCCAGAUCUAAUGUUCAUUUUUAAUAUGAAAUGGCUGAAGAGGCGACGAAUGUGAGUUGGAAAUUGUGCGUCAGUAAUAAACUCAAAACAGUCUUUACUACUCAUGGUGAUUUUAGAAUGAUUUAUUUGAUCAGUCAUUUAAUAUUACAGGUGUCACGGUGCACUCAUGUCAGGAUAGUCCCAGCGAUAUGCAGGUCGCAUGUACGGUCUGCAUGGGGAGACAUGUGGGGGUCCUGAUGGGCUGCUUGUGUGAUGCACACUAACACCAGUCUAUUUUUCCCAGGGUAGAAGCUGCCCUACCCGAACCGAAGGAAGGGGCGCUCCACAAGCUCCUGCCAGGGGACUGGGUGAUCAUCAAAGACCUCCGCCGGAAGCAUUGGCAUCAACAACGCUGGACAGGUCCGUUCCAGGUGCUCCUGACAACACAGACAGCGGUGAAAGUCGCUGAACGAUCAACGUGGGUCCAUGCCAGCCAUUGCAGAAAAGUGCCCUAUAGCCCGAAGGGAGAUGUAUCGCCCCCUGGAACAACGUAGACGGCUCGGAUGGCCUUGGGACAGUCGGCUUUGGACCCCCAGAGUCCUGACUUAUUUCUCUUGGCAGCAUAUUAACUGUGUUUCUCAUCUGGCUCUUAACUGAACUUAAAGAUAAUAAAAAAGAGCCAGAUAUUACAAACCACAGCUACGCUGAAAAUCGCACAGAACUCAGAAAAGAACAUUGCACACAUGGAGUGCAGAAAACAUGCGGACAAUGGUUGGUGGGUAAUGCUCAACCAUACUGUACGGAACACUUUGAACAUUACUGAACCUUGUUAUGUAUGCUCCCUUAUGACUCACUCAGCAGAGGAACCUUUUCCCUUGUAGCCAGUAGAAGUACCUACUAACACUCUUGGGCCAGCCAUGGCCGUAGUCACAGUUACCCAAGGGGGCAAUUUUGGGCAAAUAGAAUGCAUAAAACAUAUGGAACGUAUAGGGAGUUUAAGUAACCAGCUGAAAAUGAACCUGUUCAGAGGGGCAUUAAACGUAUACACUGGCACUGACAGAGGACGUAACUGCUCAAAGGAGCAUGUUGAUUGCUAUGAUAAUAGUACCCUACCGUUAUACACUAACUGGUGUGAGAAACUAGUAGAAAGUCAACAAAAAACGUUGUUGGCCCAAGUUGUUCCCCGAACCGUUCCUUUUACGAAUAAAACUCUCUGUUGGUGCAGGGGUAACUUGACUGAGGGGAAAUAUAUGGGUUUAUCCUGCUGUAGAACAUAUGUGUACUAUGUGAACCAGUCAACCACUGACCUCUUAACCAGACAGGGGUCAGCGGAUUCGACCACCGGGCAGGAUUCCCCAAUGCCUUUAGACACCCUCUCAUUUGGGGAAACCUCCGUACAAGCAGGGCCCAUUAAUCUAGGACCUGGCGAAAAUGGAGCAGGGACAUUUAUGAAUCAUUAUUGGGUAUGUGGGCAGGCAGUAUAUGUCAGCCUGCCUAAACAUUGGUUUGGUUGUUGUGUUUUUGUUACUCUUAAUACUACUAUGAAAGUCUUCAAGGUUAAUGAAUCCCACAAAGUACAUAAACGAAGAGAUAAACGUAGCCAGUUUUUCUCUCCUAAUGAUGAUCCUUUAGACUCACGCAGGUCCUCCAAAUGGAAUAAGAUGGGAGGUGAGUUCUUACCUUGGUUUGGGGUUUCUCAAAAUGCACACGAAAUUGACAAAGUGGCAUAUGAAUUGGAAACAUUGACCAGCCUAACCACUGAGGGGUUUCAAAUGAUGCAACCUGAAAUGAGGGCUAUCAGAAUCAUGGUGAAAAUCGAAUGGUAUUGGACAUGUUGUUAGCUGAGCAAGGAGGUGUUUGCCAUAUGGUAGGUGAACAUUGCUGCACAUACAUACCCGAUGGAGACACAAAUCUAACUGAAGUGGUACAGCAUUUAUCCACACUCCGAGAGAGACUGGUCAGUGAGCAUGCCCAGGAUACUGAUUGGGAUCCUUUUUCCUGGAUCCAGUCUCUACUGGGAGUCUGGGGAACAAGGUUGUUUCACUGGUUUAUAUAUGGCGUAGUGAUAUUGUUGUUGUUUUUGCUUAUCAUAACCUGCAUGAAAAAGUUAUGUACUAAAACUGUUGACACUGUUUUAAACAUGCCCCUGCUUACUAAUGAUGACCAGUGUAAUGAUUCAAAUGAUGACCCUUUCAACAAAAUGGCAGAUGACCUGAUGAGUUAAGAUAGUGGGGAAAAUCUGCAAGCGGGAUACGUUGGGUCGUCACUUUAUUCAUAUUACACUACAUGUUAAACUUUGUAAAUCUCGCUUUAACUUGUACUAUUGUGUGUGUUUGAAUCCAUUUUCUGAAUAAGGUUGAGACAAAGUCUCAAAAGGGAGGGACUGUAAUAGAAAUGAUACAGAAAAUAGAAUUGGCUCGACAUAAUGUACUGGCAUUUUGUUCUCCCAUAACCUUGCAUGCCUUGCUAAAGAUAAGGAACCGCAAGAUGCCUACACUGCAGCUGCGGCUGUGAGAAAAAAAGGAUGAGCCAGACGUGUCUUUUUGCACGUAUACCCAAACCACCCAUCCUUUUUAUCUGCUUGCUUAGCUAUAUGCCACGUAUGCAUAGUUAUAAGUUGUUUUUUCUUAUAUGCUAAUACCUGAAUGAUCAUUGGCUAACCCUCUGCCGUGCUGACAGUUUCAAGGUAUAUAAGAAACUGAUCUAACUCUGUAUGUUGAAACACUGCUUGAUAAUUAUCUAGCACUCUGUGUGUUGAGAGUGUUUUCAGUUUGCAAACUUAAGAAAUAAAGGCCUAUGUGUUUGGAA